rnacentral:lncRNA from 1 species
AAAUAUUUAGUUAUUUACAUACUUUAUAAUACAUUCAUUUACAUGUCUCUGUACAUCAAAAUGUCUCACAUGAUCUCAAAAUGGUAAACUACUAUACUCUGGUGUCAGCUAGCUAAGCUGCGGGGCUCUUGCCACGAUCCUCGGCCACACCGCUCGCACUGGAACCUGUAUGGUUAGUGGUAUGAGAACUACUGAAAGUUCCCAGUGGGUUCGACCGCCGAAUUCGCCGACUCACCCACUAGGUCUACUCAGGCAUAUGUAGGCAAGAAAGUAAACAGAUAGUAACCAACUAUAACAUGUAACUACUACAAUGCCUGUACAAAGCUGAAAGAACAAUAUAUAAAACUGUAAAUAUGCAUGCAUGCUUUACUGAAUUUACCCAGUCCAUUAGUUAACCCUUUGGUUAACAACAACUCACUGACACUAUCCCAAAUAUUGGGGAGACGCAACCUGCACCCGACGGGACUGUCAACUGGGGGAGACGCACCUCCUGGUCCAGUAAAGAUGACUACUCCGGAGCUCAUCGUUCAAGGAGGAGCGACCUACCUUGAACCAAACGACUGUGAGUAUGAUCUGAUCCUCCUUUAGGGGAUUCAACAAUAGACGAUGUCACACUUAACUCUAGCUAGCUCUUUAUGCUAGUUUCACAAUUCCAUUUCUCGAUGCUAAUCCAAUCUCUAAUUAGAAUGUCACCAAGUUUACUAUUGUUAUAGUCCAUGCAUUCAUAGGGUUCUAUGUUCACAUUCUAUUGUUCAUAUAUUCUCAUGGUUGAUAAGCAUUUGCAUAAUCAAAUAUCAUUUACAUAAUAUCAAUACCCUAUAAUGCAUGAUUACAAUGUAAAUAUGCUCAAUGAAUUAGCAUAGACAUAAAAGGUGAUUCAAAGAUUUCGGAUAGCACCACCCACCUGAAGUGGUGUCAAUCAACUAAGAUCAAUGUCUCGGAAUGCGUCGACAACUAUCUCUCGCGACUCAAAGCAAAUAGCACUAGAACGGCCUCUACCGUAAUUAGCGUGUCGCCGACCUGUCGGAAUGUCACUUUAGACUUUCGAGCAUAUUUAACUUUCAUUUGUAAAGAUUUAAAAGAGGUUAAACUAGAGUUACAUUCACAUUUUAACAAAACUUGCAUUUCAACUUCAAUCUGCUUAUGUGUCAAGGUACAUGUAAAUCAGCAUACAUGUAUACAUGUAAUUGCUAAUACUCCGGCCAAUUAGUAAUUGCUAAUACUCCGGCCAAUUAGAAUGUCACCAACUUCAAAUCUGUUACUCCUGAUGUUCCUCCAAGUUGCUUUUAGUUUCAACAACCCAAUUUUCCUAUUCAGCAGGUCCAACAAACCAAAGCCCCAAACCUGCUAACUUCACUUCACAACUCAACUUCACAGGUUUCUUCUUUGACCUCAACAGCGAGAAUUACAUAUAUAAAUCAUUUCCAAGGUGAUUAAUUUAACUAAACUCAAUUAGUAACUAAGCUUACCUUAGUUAAAAGCUUCUACCAAGCUGCUCAGUAGUUCCAACAGCAGGAAUCCCUUGCUCGGAUCAGGUCUCCCUCCUCAGCCCGCAAACCUCCAGGUUGCCAACACCAAUCUCCUCAACCCUUAAUUAGCCUAGAGGGAGAAGAAGAAAC